CCUACGGGCGGCAGCAGUGGGGGAUAUUGCACAAUGGGGGAAACCCUGAUGCAGCGACGCCGCGUGAGUGAAGAAGUAUUUCGGUAUGUAAAGCUCUAUCAGCAGGGAAGAAAAUGACAGUACCUGACCAAGAAGCCCCGGCUAACUACGUGCCAGCAGCCGCGGUAAUACGUAGGGGGCAAGCGUUAUCCGGAUUUACUGGGUGUAAAGGGGGCGUAGGCGGGUUUGCAAGUCAGAAGUGAAAGCCCGGGGCCCAACCCCGGGACUGCUUUUGAAACUGUGGAACUGGAGUGGAGGAGGGGCAGGCGGAAUGCCUGGUGUAGCGGUGAAAUGCGUAGAGAUCAGGAGGAACACCAGUGGCGAAGGCGGCCUACUGGACUGUAACUGACGUUGAGGCACGAAAGCGUGGGGAGCAAACAGGAUUAGAUACCCCAGUAGUC
rnacentral:rRNA from 1 species